GUUAUAUGGUCAAGUGAAGAAGCGCAUACGGUGGAUGCCUUGGCAGUCAGAGGCGAUGAAAGACGUGGUAGCCUGCGAUAAGCUUCGGGGAGUCGGCAAACAGACUUUGAUCCGGAGAUCUCUGAAUGGGGGAACCCAGCCAG
rnacentral:rRNA from 1 species